rnacentral:rRNA from 1 species
GGAUUAGGCAUGCAAGUCGAACGAGAAAGUUCCCUUUCGGGGGACGAGUACAGUGGCGGAAGGGUGAGUAAUACCUAGAUAAUCUACCCUCGAGCCGGGGAUAACAGCUGGAAACGGCUGCUAAUACCGGAUGUGUCGGAAGGACCCUCGGGAUCUUCCGGUAAAGGUGGGGACCCUACGGGGCCUGCCGCUCGAGGAGGAGUUUAGGCACUACCAGCUUGUUGGUGGGGUAAGAGCCCACCAAGGCUAUGACGGUUAGCCGGCCUGAGAGGGUGUUCGGCCACACUGGGACUGAGACACUGCCCAGACUCCUACGGGAGGCUGCAGUCGAGAAUCUUCGGCAAUGAGCGAAAGCUUGACCGAGCGACGCCGCGUGGAGGAUGAAGGCCUUCGGGUUGUAAACUCCUGUCACAUAGCAAGAGCACCAGGGUGUUAAUAGCGCCCUGUCUGACAAGCUAUGAGAGGAAGCCACGGCUAACUCUGUGCCAGCAGCCGCGGUAAUACAGAGGUGGCAAGCGUUGUUCGGAAUCACUGGGCAUAAAGGGGGCGUAGGCGGCGCGUAAAGUCAGGUGUGAAAUCCCUCGGCUCACCCGAGGAACUGCGCCUGAUACUGACGUGCUAGAGUGUAGGAGGGGAGAGUGGAACUCCUGGUGGAGCGGUGAAAUGCGUAGAGAUCAGGAGGAACGCCGGUGGCGAAAGCGACUCUCUGGCCUAUUACUGACGCUGAGGCCCGAAAGCUAGGGGAGCAAACAGGAUUAGAUACCCUGGUAGUCCUAGCCGUAAACGAUGGGCACUAAGUAGAGGGGUUUU